ACAAUAUCUCGUCGUUCUUUUCGG
rnacentral:snRNA from 1 species